AGACACUUCCUGUUGUCUGUAGUUUAUCUGCUUGAGCCUAUCAUUGUAGAACUGGUUAUUUGCUGUUUGAGUCAUGGGCUAUACAUUUGACCUGUAAAAGACCAUGAAGCUUUGGUAAAUCACGACUGCUGUCCAGAAAUAAUGCAGUGACGUUGGUUGGCCAUGUUUGAGUGCCCCUUAAGCCUCGUUUGUCGAUCUGCCUUCCCUUAUAAAGAAGAGGAAACCCAGUGGACGCAGCGGCUUCAUCUGGGAGAAUAUACAUCGUUCUGCACCCCUUGCCUUCCCCCUCCCCCCCAUCACUACCAUCAAGGGAGGGGAGGGGCUUCCUCAUCUCUAGGGUGAAUGAUUAGCACAAUUACUCUGUAUUGGCUUCAUUUUAGGCAAAGUCAAGUAUAAUGACUUUCCCGUUUGGUUGAUUUUGUUCCACAGAGUUCUCCAUGUUUCUCUGGAUUUCUCAUAUGCUCAUCCUUUUUUACAGUGCCAUCAUAUUUCAUUAUUCCAGUCAGAUGCCACCAUUUAUUUAAUCAUUAGGCAAUCAAUGGGUAUAACUCAGACUUCUCAUUUUACAGUAGAGGAAACUGAGGACUCAGAAAAUGAAGAGGAAGUAUGAUCUAAUGGAAAUUACACUGGGCAAAAAUUUCUGGGCUUCAGGUAGAGUAAGGACUAGAACCCAGGUCUCCUGGCUUCCAGGCUAGAGCCUGGUCUACCUCACUAGUUUACCCCAAUAGCCUUCCACUGGGUAGCCCCAUUCUUUUCACCAUGGAUGUUUUUAUUGACAUGAGUAAAAUGCACUCAGACUUAUAUAAGGGACCACCCUACACUGACUGCUUUUGGUAAAGUAAAUCCUGCAAAUCAGUUUCCUUAUCUGUAAAAUGAGGGGAUUAGGCUAGAUGACCUCUAAGAUCCCUUCUAAUUUGAAAUUCUAUUGUUUCUCCUUUUCUCCUAAAUAAACAGCUUUUCUAAAUUGGGGCUUUUGUACGU
rnacentral:lncRNA from 1 species